AUGACAUUGUCUGAUGAAGUGAUGCUGAAGGGGUCUUCUUGCUUUCAUCAGCUAGAAGAGGUAGCUCAUCAGCCAGAAUGUGGAACUGCAGAGUUCCUCAGAAAACUCAUCUUACAUCUAAGACUUCCACUGAAACCUACAGGGCCAGGCUUUGAAAAAAGUGAAAUGUCUUUAGAAAUCUCUGCACUGUCUUUAUUCUGGGGUUACUGCCAGUCUCUGGCAUCCAAGGCUCAGAUACCUGGGGAAACCUCCCCUUCUGAAUCACUGUGCCUUUUCUGUUAGAUGGAAGAUUCCCACAAAAUGUGCAAAGAAGCUGACUCUUGCUCUGUUGUCUUUUCUCAAAAAGAAGACCUUCCCCAGCCCUCUGUCAAGCCGUCACUGAGAAUAGGACUGGAGGAGUGGAUUUGCCAAAUGGCUGUCAGAGCUGACACGGAGGGCAGCAUCAGCAGGGAGCCCGAGUUGCUUUUGGUGAUGUGAUCUUUUCUCCUGCGCAUCCCCUCAGGUUCCCUUCGAUUGUUCUGAACCAAUGACACAGAUCUCAAGCCCGAGAAACAGUUAAGUGACUCACUAGCUGGUUCUUCUAGUAAUUAGUGAGAAUGAGUGAGAGCUUUCUUUUUAGGGAUUCCUGAACCCACUUCCAGAAGGAGGGAAUAGGUCUAUGAAGUCUGCUUCAAGCCGGUCUUACCCAGGCAGCAGUAAGUAUGAGCAGCGCUGGGAAAUAAGUUUCUCUCCUGUCUUAGCAACUUCUCAACAUAGACCCGUUGCUCUCACUGGCAAACCCAGUAAAAAGGGCUCUCAUGAGAAUGAACCAAGGAAUGGAUACGUCCACUGAUUCGAAACUUCGAAAUGAGUGCUUGACCUUGGAUAUUCAUACUGUUGAUUUAUGUAACCGUGUGCAAUAGGAAAGUUGUUGAAAAUAAUGCAACAGAAUUUUAUAGCUAUGUGGAUGUUUCAGACAGAACUCCAUCCCAGCUUUGUAUUCUCAGAUGAGAAUGGUAAGCUCUUGGUAUGUGGGUUUCACCUCCUCUACCGCAGCAGACAUUACUGGAUGAUCACAGCAUUCUUUCUGGUUGAAAUGAAACGCAGUGGGAGACUCUUUCUGAACACAGUGUUCUCAGCAGCCAGUACAAUCGAUCAGUAAUGUCAUGCAAAAUGAAACUUCAUUUGCCAUCCGUGUUCUAAGUUAAUGAGGUCUAUCUACUAUACAUGCGAGCCCGGGUGCCACCUGGGAUGGCCUCAACUAAAAUGCUCUCAUGUUUUUAAUUUCAGUUCCAGCCUCAUUUUGUUUUGGAGACACAGUCUCCUGCCCAAAGUGAAUCAACCUUCCCAUUCUUCCUUCUCAUCAGCAUUUCUUUCUAGACUCUCUUGAGUGUGGAUCAAAAGGCAGCUCUAAACCUUGUUGGGAGCAUUUCUUCC
rnacentral:lncRNA from 1 species